AAUCUCGAACGGGCUUCGGCCAGUGGACUCACUUCGGAGUAAGUUGUAUGAAAAUUGGGCAACGUCAAGCAGCUUAGCCCAAUCCCGCUGGUUGGCACUUACAUAGUGCCGAAGAUACAUCUCGAGCAAGGCAUUUAUCCUUUCGGUUUGCCCAUCCGUUUGGGGAUGCAUUGCUGUAGAGAAGUUUAACUCCGUCCCCAGUAGCUUGAACAGCUCAGUCCAGAACCGUCCCGUGAAUUUGGAGUCUCGAUCACUGAUGAUCGUCUUGGGCAGCCCCCAAUACUU
rnacentral:misc_RNA from 1 species